rnacentral:rRNA from 1 species
AUUGAACGCUGGCGGCAGGCCUAACACAUGCAAGUCGAGCGGAUGAAGGGAGCUUGCUCCUGGAUUCAGCGGCGGACGGGUGAGUAAUGCCUAGGAAUCUGCCUGGUAGUGGGGGAUAACGUCCGGAAACGGGCGCUAAUACCGCAUACGUCCUGAGGGAGAAAGUGGGGGAUCUUCGGACCUCACGCUAUCAGAUGAGCCUAGGUCGGAUUAGCUAGUUGGUGGGGUAAAGGCCUACCACGGCGACGAUCCGUAACUGGUCUGAGAGGAUGAUCAGUCACACUGGAACUGAGACACGGUCCAGACUCCUACGGGAGGCAGCAGUGGGGAAUAUUGGACAAUGGGCGAAAGCCUGAUCCAGCCAUGCCGCGUGUGUGAAGAAGGUCUUCGGAUUGUAAAGCACUUUAAGUUGGGAGGAAGGGCAGUAAGUUAAUACCUUGCUGUUUUGACGUUACCAACAGAAUAAGCACCGGCUAACUUCGUG